rnacentral:misc_RNA from 1 species
AGAUGGGCAGUGGAGGGCCACCACAGAUGCUCAGGGACUAUACAAACUUGAUCAGGUUACAUCCAAACACUACUCUGUUAAGGCUGUGAAGGAUCAUUACAAGUUCACUACUCUGGAGAAUUUCCUCGUUCUGCCAAACAUGGCUUAUAUCAAUGAUAUUAAAGCAGUCUACUACGAUAUAUGUGGUGUCGUUCGAUUGGCGACUGCAA